GAAAUGUGAUGACAAUAUGAAAGCUGCUAACUUCACAUAAUAGCGGUUAAACUCCGUUAACAUUUCU
rnacentral:tRNA from 1 species